GUCCACGCCCUAAACUAUGUCUACUAGUUGUUGGGGAGUUAAAUCCCUUAGUAACGCAGCUAACGCGAGAAGUAGACCGCCUGGGGAGUACGGUCGCAAGAUUAAAACUCAAAGGAAUUGACGGGGGCCCGCACAAGCGGUGGAUGAUGUGGUUUAAUUCGAUGCAACGCGAAAAACCUUACCUACCCUUGACAUGUCCGGAAUCCUGCAGAGAUGCAGGAGUGCCCGAAAGGGACCGGAACACAGGUGCUGCAUGGCUGUCGU
rnacentral:rRNA from 1 species